UACAGAGGGUGCGAGCGUUAAUCGGAAUUACUGGGCGUAAAGCGUGCGUAGACGGUUAUUUAAGUCGGGUGUGAAAGCCCCGGGCUCAACCUGGGAAUUGCAUUCGAGACUGAAUAGCUAGGGUACGGUAGAGGGAAGUGGAAUUUCCGGUGUAGCGGUGAAAUGCGUAGAUAUCGGGAGGACACCAGUGGCGAAGGCGGCUUUUCUGGUCUGCUCUUGACGCUGAGGCGCGAAAGCUAGGGU
rnacentral:rRNA from 1 species